rnacentral:lncRNA from 1 species
UUUUAUCAGUCAUAUACUUGUAACUGUACAUGUUAUGUAUCACGCCAUGGUAAUUGCAGUGAUAAUUAAGUGUUAAAUUCUGGUUAGUUAAUUUAUUACCCCUGCUAGAGUGAUGGACAGAGCUCUAUGUUGUUGAUUGUAUCCUAUAUUGCGUGAUAAUAACAUUGGCUGUCUGUCAUUCAUCACCAUCAUUUAAUCUAUGUUAUGUCUUGACUACAAUCUAUAUUUGCCAGUAAUCCAAUAGAAAAGAAUACCUGUGCUGAGGCAGUAUUUGUCGCCAGGUCAAUCAAUUGUUUCCAGCAAACCUACCUGAACUGUUGUACACAAACUUAAGACAACUGUUAGAUAUGUCUGUUCAAUACCAUUUCUGGAUGCAUUUCUUCUGAAUUUAGGUGUACCUCUGGUGCCAUGCAUGCACUGAUCUGACUCAGCAUGUCUUCAUAUGCACACACCUGAUCUUUAACAUGUGAUGAUAUCCCUGUGAUGCUGCUCAGCAUCACUAGCCAGCUAGCAACUUUUUGGGGCUUGUGUUUUUGCUGCUUGGCUAUUUUUGAAUAACCAUCACACAAUUUGUAUUUGUUCAGCUCGUCAAAAGAAGGCAGUGAAGAUCUUCCCUCGCCCAACAUCUGGUCCUCUUCGUCCCAUUGUGCAAUGCCAGACUCGGAAGUACAACAUGAAGGCAAGGGCUGGGAGAGGCUUUACCCUUGAGGAGCUGAAGGUGACUUGUUUCUUCUAUACCGUUAAAUCCUGUAAACCAUCUCUCUUUCUCUGGUUUGCCUUUUUUUAAUUAAAUGUGGGAGAAAAUCAAUAUACCCUUUAUUAAAUAUAUGUGAUAUAUUUUCUGCAUUAGUUGUUGUCAUGCAUGUAUCUGGUAAAUUGUUCUCAUAUUCGGUAUUUGUUUUUAUUAUUAGCAAAUUUACUCAUAUUAGUAAUAAUUUAUUGUUCUUCCCUUUCUAUAAGUGAUGAACUGAUGUUUUGCAUGCAGACUCAUGCUAGCUUGCUGUGCUUUUCGUGUAUCCUCCUUGCAAUCCAAUUUUCUAUCCAGAUUCUACUGUCAUUUCUCAUGUAGUAUGUAUCAUAUACUGUAUCUUUCUGCUAAUGUUCAUUUAUGCUGUAAUUUGCAGACAGCGGGCAUCCCGAAGAAGCUAGCUCCUACUAUUGGCAUUUCUGUGGAUCACCGCCGUAAAAACAGGUCACUUGAGGGUAUGCAGUCUAACAUUCAGAGACUCAAGACGUACAAGGCUAAGCUGGUUAUCUUCCCAAGGCGUGCUCGCAAGGUUAAGGUAUGGCGGGAGUUUAUUGUUUGUGUACACCAUUUUAUAUUUUGCUAUGUAUUCUCCUGUUCAUGACCUUUACGCUAUUUGUCUUAGGCUGGUGAUUCUACCCCUGAGGAACUUGCCACAGCCACCCAGGUCCAGGGUGACUAUAUGCCUAUUACUCGUGGUGAGAAGCGCUUGGUUGAGCUCAUGAAGGUCACUGAGGAGAUGAAGGCGUUCAAGGCCUACGGCAAGCUCUGUGU